UUAUUUAUUUGCUGAUUUGCCCACAUGUGUUUUUUAUUGAACAAAUUUCUUUGGUGGCGGGAGCAAUCCUACCGCCAGAGGUUAUAACUAAACCAAACUUUUUAUUUACAGUCAAACUUGAUUUAUUAUUACAAUAGUCAAAACUUUCAACAACGGAUCUCUUGGUUCUCGCAUCGAUGAAGAACGCAGCGAAAUGCGAUACGUAAUAUGAAUUGCAGAUAUUCGUGAAUCAUCGAAUCUUUGAACGCACAUUGCGCCCUUUGGUAUUCCAAAGGGCAUGCCUGUUUGAGCGUCAUUUCUCCCUCAAACCCCCGGGUUUGGUGUUGAGCAAUACGCUAGGUUUGUUUGAAAGAAUUUAACGUGGAAACUUAUUUUAAGCGACUUAGGUUUAUCCAAAACGCUUAUUUUGCUAGUGGCCACCACAAUUUAUUUCAUAACUUUGACCUCAAAUCAGGUAGGACUACCCGCUGAACUUAAGCAUAUCAAUAAGCGGAGGAA
rnacentral:rRNA from 1 species